CUCAGGACGAACGCUGGCGGCGUGCCUAAUACAUGCAAGUAGAACGCUGAAGCUUGGUGCUUGCACCGAGCGGAUGAGUUGCGAACGGGUGAGUAACGCGUAGGUAACCUGCCUGGUAGCGGGGGAUAACUAUUGGAAACGAUAGCUAAUACCGCAUAAGAGUAGAUGUUGCAUGACAUUUGCUUAAAAGGUGCAAUUGCAUCACUACCAGAUGGACCUGCGUUGUAUUAGCUAGUUGGUGAGGUAACGGCUCACCAAGGCAACGAUACAUAGCCGACCUGAGAGGGUGAUCGGCCACACUGGGACUGAGACACGGCCCAGACUCCUACGGGAGGCAGCAGUAGGGAAUCUUCGGCAAUGGACGGAAGUCUGACCGAGCAACGCCGCGUGAGUGAAGAAGGUUUUCGGAUCGUAAAGCUCUGUUGUAAGAGAAGAACGAGUGUGAGAGUGGAAAGUUCACACUGUGACGGUAUCUUACCAGAAAGGGACGGCUAACUACGUGCCAGCAGCCGCGGUAAUACGUAGGUCCCGAGCGUUGUCCGGAUUUAUUGGGCGUAAAGCGAGCGCAGGCGGUUAGAUAAGUCUGAAGUUAAAGGCUGUGGCUUAACCAUAGUACGCUUUGGAAACUGUUUAACUUGAGUGCAAGAGGGGAGAGUGGAAUUCCAUGUGUAGCGGUGAAAUGCGUAGAUAUAUGGAGGAACACCGGUGGCGAAAGCGGCUCUCUGGCUUGUAACUGACGCUG
rnacentral:rRNA from 1 species